AUGGACUUUGGGCUCAGCUUUGUUUUCCUUGUCCUUAUUUUAAAAUGUGUCAAGUGUGAGGUGAAGCUGGUGGAGUCUGUGGGAGGGUUAGAGCAGCCUGGAGGGUCCCUGAAACUCUCCUGUGCAGCCUCUGGAGUCACUGUCAGUGAGUACUGAAUGACCUGGGUCCUUCAGGCUCCAAAGAAGGAGCUGGAAAGGGUGGCAAUAAUUUUUAAUGGUGGAGGUAGCACCUAUUAUCCAGAAACCAUGAAGGGCCAAUUCACCAUCUGCAGAGAUGAUGCCAAAAACAUACUUUACCUAGAAAUAAACACUCUGUGGUCUGAGUACACACACACACACACACAUACACACAC